CUGCAGUUUGGAGAGCCCUGGUUUAGAACAAGACCCUGGAUAAAAAGGCAGUCACUUCAAGAGCUCGACAAGGCGCCAAUGCUACAAAACUCCCAGAAAGCUUCCCCACAGCACCACGCACGGACCAGCUGCUGACAGCGGGUGCUGAUCCCAGUUUGGUCCGGAUGCAGGGGCUCGACCCACGCUCGGGGCUCUUGGAUCGCGUGUGCGUGGUUCGGCCUUCCAGAAAGUAGUGCUGUCCAUUCUGCUGGCAACGUUGACUGUGUUUCCCCAGAUGUCGUACUGAGGCCUGCGAGCCCCGAUUACAC